AAAGUACUAUAAUAAAUUUUAUUUCUACUUGUAAUUGCACAGCUCUUUUAAAAUCUGAUUGAGGUGCUAAAGAAAAUCAAAGAAAUUAUGAAAAUUUUCUUUCUUUUUAAGUAAUGCCUGCAAACAAUACCUUACCAAAGUGAAUUGGUUUUGUUUAGUAUCCUCAGAAAGGUCUUCAUUAUUAAAAAAGAAAAAAAAUGCCAUGAGAGGAUUUGUCUCUGAGCUUAUUUCAAAACAAAAAAUAUGGAGAAAGUAUAGCAAUGUUUCUAGAAAUGAAGCUAUUUAGGACAGAAUAAAAAUAAAUAAAUAAGAAAUAUUUAAUCACCUAGUAGCUAAAUAAAUAAACCUUUCCAAAAAGAAAAGGCAAAGCCUGGUCCUCACUGUGUUUUUUUACCUGAUAAAUUCCCUUUGUAUGCAAAACAUUUCCAUUAUUCACAUAUCCUUGUCUGUUUAAGGCAAGGCAAUAAAACUACUAUUGGGCUACACAGCCAACAGAGCAAGUGAGUUGUUUGUGUUUCUUCUCCACAGGGCAUUUUGUUUGGUCUCAAAAUUUUUUUUGUGGCCAUAUAGAAAUAAUCUACUUUUGGUGUCAUGUGAAAAAACUUUACACAGAAAAAUCUGUACUUAUACAUUCUUUUUUGGGAUUUUAUUGUGCUAAAAAGUAGAAUUCACACCGGCCAAAAAAAAAAAAAAAAACCCAAACAUGCAAAAUAUUUUUGUGCACACACCUCGAACACACUACAUUCCACCAUUGAAGAUUUUGAAAUCUUAAAAUUAAAAAAAAAAUCCCAAAGCAAGAGUACCUGGGUUGAAAAGUUAACAUUAUACAAGCUAGAUUCCUAACACAAACACUGCAGACACAAGUCACUCCAUUGCAAAAAGUUAAUGUUUAUAAGGCUUAAAUAAAUGUCAACAAUGAAGAGACAAAAACCGUAGAUCCAAAGUGUACUCCCCACCAGGAAGUAUUAAAAAUUGAUGUUGUAGUACAUCCAUGAUAUUAACUUCAAAUAGAUACCACCUUAGCCCCAAAGUUACGCCAAACUCGCAAACACCAAGGGAACCAUAUUCAAAACUACCUUCUUUUUCUGCUACCUUUAAAAUGGUUUUAUAUUUGUUUUGUGUGUUUGGUAAAUAAGAGUCCCUCAGAAUCUACACUAGCUCUGAGAUGUAGAAAAAUUGAUUCGAUCAAUGACCUCCUCUGAAUGAUGAAGUUGUCCUCUGAGAUGCGUCACUUUUCUGUUUAAUGAUCAUGUACUUUGUAGUGAUCGUGUGUGUGUGUGUGUGUGUGUGUGUGAGUGUGUGUGUCUCUGUGUCUGUGUUUGCGCGCGCACGUGUAAACCCUUUUAAAAAACUCUAAACUCUAGGGAACAUUUUUUUUUCCUUUCCUCGAGACCAGUCCCUAAAAAUGUGUUGUUUUGUUUUUGUUUUUGUUUUU